GAUGGAAUGGGUUUGCAGGCUCCAUGCUCGUGCAUCGAACUGCAAGCUGUCCAUCCGCUUCAUAGCUAUCCCCAAGCAUGUCCCAUGUCUUGUGGGUGCGUUUCGGUAUCCUGUGUUGAUUACCAAUGCAACGGUAUUCGGUGUUUUUGAUGCCUACAUCCGCCCGGUGCCCCGUUGGGGAGUUAGGUGGACAAUAGGCUGGCUCCGUGCUCCCGACAUGCCCUGCAAUGUUGCAUGGCUGUCAUGGUGCAUGGGGUUGUGCCCGUUCUCUCGGAUGCAGAUCGUUACGUGCGUCGACAAGGGGUUUUGGCCUCUACUCGUCCGCGUUACGCAUUUGUCCAUUGACACGAACGACCGUCGCACUCGUCUUGGCUCAAGAGCUGCACAACUCUUUGAGGCUCCAUGCGAGUGUCGGCGUCGUGAAGGAAUGC
rnacentral:misc_RNA from 1 species